GAGCGCAUCAGCUCCGGCUGCAGCACGUAUCCGGUCCGUCCGUUCAGGCUGAACAGGGCGGUGUUCAGCUGGGUGCAUUUGUCUGAGCGGAAAACCAGAAACGUUUUUAUUCGUCUGCAGGAAACUAUGUAAGCAGACGUUCAGGACCAAACACGUGAACUCCGACCGUCACUCGGCUCCGGGACUCUACCUGGUCCACAGGGUCCCAGAUCUCCAGGUCUCCCUGUUUUUGGCCUUUCCGGAAGUCUUUGGUGCCGACAUACCUUCCUUCAGGUGUGCAGCACCUUGAUGAUGAUCUUGCCCCUCAGCUGCGUGGGCGACGGCAGCUGCUCCGCCAUGUGCUCCACCGGUUCCGUCAGGAGUUUGUCUCCAAACACGUCCCUGAAGAUCCG